UCGGUGCAUAAUAGAACAAUAUAAUUAGGUUUUACACUUUGUUCGACUGAAUGAGAAAAAGUACUCGUUGCAAAGUUAUACUGUUAGGGUGCAACCGAGUAGUCUAACGUUGUUCCGGUUUUGGUUAUUAUGAACGUUGACAUCGAUUCGUCCCGAAUUUACACUCGCGGGGGAUAAUAGAAUAAUAUAAUUAGGUUUUACUCUUUGUUCGAUUGAAUGAGAAAAAGUACUCAUAGCAAAGUUAUACUGUUAUGGCGCAACUGAGUAUUCUAAUGUUGUUCCGGUUUUGGUUCUUUUGAAUGUUGACAUCGAUUCGCUCCAAAUUUACACUCUCGGGGCAUAAUAGAACAAUAUAAUUAGGUAUUACUCUUUGUUCGAUUGAAUGAGAAAAAGCACUCGUUGCAAAGAUAUACUGUUAGGGCGCAACUGAGUAGUCUAAUGUUGUUAAGAUUUGGUGUCUUGUGAAUGUUUGACACGAUUUUUCCCAAAAUUUACACUCUCGGGGGAUAAUAGAACAAUAUAAUUAGGUUUACUCUUAUUCGAUGAAUGAGAAAAUUAACUCGUUGCAAAGUUAUACUGUUAGGCGUAACUAAGUAGUCUAAUGUUGUUCCCGGUUUUGGAUCUGGUGAACGUUGACAUCGAAUUGUUGCAAAUAUACCUCUCGGGCAUAAAUAGAACAUAUAAUUAGAUUUAUCUCUGUUCAUGGAUGAGAAAAAGUGCUCGUUGCAAAGUUAUAGUGUUAGGGCGCAAUUGAGUAGUCUAAUUUGUUCCAGUUUUGGUUAUUGUAAACUUGACAUCGAUUCGUUCCAAUUUACAUUCCUCGGGGCAUAAUAGAAUAAUAUAGUUAGGAUUUACUCUUUAUUCGAUUGAAUGAGAAAAAGCACUGUUGCAAAGAUAUACUGUUAGGGCGCAACUGAGUAGUCUAAUGUUGUUCAGAUUUUGGUUCUUGUGAACGUUUGACAUCGAUUCUUCCAAAUUUACACUCUCGGGCAUAAUAGAACAAUAUAUAGGUUUACUCUUUAUUCGAUUGAAUAAGAAAAUUACUCGUUGCAUGUUAUAGAGUUAGGGCGCAACUAAGUAGUUCUAAUAUUGUUCCAAUUUUGGUUCUGGUGAACGUUGACAUCGAAUUGUUGCAAAUGUAUGCUCUCGGGACAUAAUAGAACAAUAUAAUUAGGUUUUACUCUUUGUUCGAUUGAAUGAGAAAAAGUGCUCGUUGCAAAGUUAUUCUGUUUAGGGCGCAACUGAGUAGUCUAAUGUUGUUCCGGUUUUGGUUAUUGUAAACGUUGACAUCGAUUCGUUCCAAAUUUACAUUCUCGGGACAUAAUAGAACAAUAUAGUUAGGUUUUACUCUUUAUUCGAUUGAAUAGAAAAAGCACUCGUUGCAAAGUUUCUGUUAGGGGCGCAACUGAGUAGUCUAAUGUGUUCCGGUUUUGUUAUUGUAAACGUUGACAUCGAUUCGUAACAAAUUACAUUCUGAGUCAUAAUAGAACAAUAUAGUUUAGGUUUUACUCUUUAUUCGAUUGAAUGAAAAAAGCACUCGUUGCAAAGUUAUACUGUUAGUGGCGGCAACUAAGUAGUCUAAUGUUGUUCCGGUUUUGGUUCUUGUGAACGUUGACAUCGAAUCGUUGAAAUACGCUCUCGGGUAUGAUAGAACAAAUAUAAUUAGGUUUUACUCUUUGUUCGGCUGAAUGAGAAAAGUACUCGUUGUAAGUUAUAAUGUUAGGGCGCAACAAAGUAGUUUAAUGUUGUUCCGGUUUUGUUCUUGCGAACGUUGACAUCGAAUCAUUGCAAUGUACGCUCUCGGGCAUAAUAGAACAAUAUAAUUAGGUUUUACUCUUUGUUCGGCUGAAUGAGAAAAAGUACUCGUUCCAAAGUUAUACUGUUAGGGUGCAACCGAGUAUCUAACGUUUAAUGUUCCGGUUUUGUUUAUUAUGACGUUGACAUCGAUUCGUUCCGAAUUUCACUCGCGGGGCAUAAUAGAAUAAUAUAAUUAGGUUUUAUCUGUUUGUUCAGAUUGAACGAGAAAAAGUACUCAAUGUGCAAAGUUAUACUGUUAUGGCGCAACUGAGUAUUUCUAAUGUUGUUCCGGUUUUGUUCUUUUGAAUGUUGACAUCGAUUCGCUCCAGAAAUUUACACUCUCGGGGCAUAAUAAGAACAUAUAUAAUUAGGUAUUACUCUUUGUUCGAUUGAAUGAAAAAAGUCUCGUUGCAAAGUUAUAGUGUUAGGGUGCAACUGAGUAGUCUAAUGUUGUUCCGGUUUUAGUUAUUGCGAACGGUUGACAUCGAUUCGUUCUCAAAUUUACACUCUCGAGCAUAAUAGAACAAUAUAAUUAGUUUUACUCUUUAUCGAUUGAAUGAGAAAAGUACUCAGUUUGCAAAGUUAUACUGUUAGGGCGGCAACUAAGUAGUCUAAUGGUGUUCCGGUUUUGGUUCUGGUGAACGUUAACAUCGAAUUGUUGCAAAUGUACGCUCUCGGGGCAUAAUAGUACAGUAUAAUUUAGGUUUUACUGCUUGUUCGAUUGAAUGAGAAAAAGUGCUCGUUGCAAAGUUAUAGUGUUUGGCGCGACUGAGUUGUCUAAUGUUGUUCGCGGUUUCGGUUAUUGUAAACGUUUACAUCGAUUCGUUCCAAUUUACAUUCUCGGGGCAUAAUAGAAAGGUUUUACUCUUUAUUCGAUAGAAUGAGAAAAAGUACUCGUUGAAAAGUUAUACUGUUAGGGCGCAACUGAGUAGUCUAAUGUUGUUCCGGCUUUUGUUUUUCUGAACGUUGACAAUGAUUCGUUCCAAAUUUUCACUCUCGGGGCAUAAUAGAACAAUAUAAUUAGGGUUUACUCUUUAUUCGAUUGGAUGAGAAAAAUUACUCGUUCCAAAGUUAUACUGUUAGGGCGGAACUAAGUAGCCUAGUAUUGUUCCGAUUUUGGUUCUGGUGAAAGUUGACAUCGAAUUGUUGCAAAUGUACGUUCUCGGGGCAUAAUAGAACAAUAUAAUUAGGUUUUACUCUUUGUUCGAUUGGAUGAGAAAAAGUACACGUUGCAGUGUUAGGGCGCAACUGAGUAGUCGAAUAUUGAUCCGGUUUUGGUUAUUGUAAACGUUGACAUCGAUUCGUUCCAAAUUUACAUUCUCGGGUCAUAAUAGAACAAUAUAGUUAGGUUUUACUCUUUAUUCGAUUGAAUGAGAAAAAGCACUCGUUGCAAAGUUAUACUGUUAAGGCGCAACUGAGUAGUCUAAUGUUGUUCCGGUUUUGGUUAUUGUAAACGUUGUCUUCGAUUCGUUCCAAAUUUACAUUCACGGGGCAUAUUAGAAUAAUAUAGUUAGGUUUUACUCUUUAUUCGAUUGAAUGAGAAAAAGCACUCGUUGCAAAGAUAUACUGUUAGGGCGCAACUGAGUAGUCUAAUGUUGUUCAGAUUUUGGUUCUUGUGAACGUUGACAUCGAUUCGUUCCAAAUUUACACUCUCGGGGCAUAAUAGAACAAUAUAAUUAGGUUUACUCUUUAUUCGAUUGAAUAAGAAAAAUUACUCGUUGCAAUGUUAUAGAGUUAGGGCGCAACUAAGUAGUCUAAUAUUGUUCCAAUUUUGGUUCUGGUGAACGUUGACAUCGAAUUGUUGCAAAUGUAUGCUCUCGGGACAUAAUAGAACAAUAUAAUUAGGUUUUACUCUUUGUUCGAUUGAAUGAGAAAAAGUGCUCGUUGCAAUGUUAUUCUGUUAGGGCGCAACUGAGUAGUCUAAUGUUGUUCCGGUUUUGGUUAUUGUAAACGUUGACAUCGAUUCGUUCCAAAUUUACAUUCUCGGGACAUAAUAGAACAAUAUAGUUAGGUUUUACUCUUUAUUCGAUUGAAUGAGAAAAAGCACUCGUUGCAAAGUUAUUCUGUUAGGGCGCAACUGAGUAGUCUAAUGUUGUUCCGGUUUUGGUUAUUGUAAACGUUGACAUCGAUUCGUACCAAAUUUACAUUCUCGAGUCAUAAUAGAACAAUAUAGUUAGGUUUUACUCUUUAUUCGAUUGAAUGACAAAAAGCACUCGUUGCAAAGUUAUACUGUUAGGGCGCAACUAAGUAGUCUAAUGUUGUUCCGGUUUUGGUUCUUGUGAACGUUGACAUCGAAUCGUUGCAAAUGUACGCUCUCGGGGUAUGAUAGAACAAUAUAAUUAGGUUUUACUCUUUGUUCGGCUGAAUGAGAAAAAGUA
rnacentral:lncRNA from 1 species